CAAGAGUCUGCGUAUAAAAUUUUGCUCACCCAUUCUUUCCAUGAGACAUUUGUGAUUUAAGCUUUAAGAGUCUUUGUGUGAUAACUCCCUCCUCUUCCUAUUGCAAUACCCUUCUUAAUAUAAUGUUUCCAUGUUCAUGUCCAGACUGGAUCUUUUUCUACAGCAAUAAUGAUACCGUGACUUGAAUAGAAUUCUGACUGUGCCUCAGCUGUUGGUUUGUUUUUAUUCUUUCUACAACAUGCCAGGACUUGGACAGAAAAUGUUGACUUCCAUCCUGCUCUCACCCAAGUGACAAGGCCAUCAUUGAACUCAUUCAUCAUCAUUUGAACCCAUUGAAACCUGUCGUGGAAAGCAGAGUCCACAACGCUCUCUCUGUUCUGAUGGGAAAGGCCUCUAUCCAUCCAAUAAAUGUGUUCAUUAGAGCCUUAGAAGACUGCCAUCACCAGCUGAUUGAAGGUGGUGGUGAUUCGAGUGAUGAAUGAAUCCAAGAUAUAAAAAAAUAAAAAAAGUUUGCAUUGCCCAAUGGAACUCACACCCGUUGUGGUUGUCUGAAGAAGACCAAGCCAGCCACAAUUCCAACAAAGAUGGAAAGAAGCUCCUGAGGCCCCAUCUCUAACUGAGAAGCUGUUGGCGGUUGAUGUCUGCAGGGAAGAGGAGGAAUUAUUCAUCUUUGGGGGUGUGGCCGCUGGGGUGCUGCCCAUGCUCCAUUGGACAGCCCCACUCCUGUGCAUGUAUAACACCAUUAACUGGGCUUACUAAGUUAUUGAUAAGAAGAGACAUGAAUCUGGGAAGAAUGUGUAUUAUCAAGGACACGGGGGAAAUUAAAGUGGGGGACCAUGGGUAGAGAGAAUCAUAUUUCAGUGUAUAUGUGUAUGAAAUUCUCUAUGAAUACUUAUUAAAUUUUUCCAAAAAAUAUUGAAAGAAACUACGGUUAUGACUGAGAUCCAUGUCGUCAGGAUACCAUGGGGACAGGGACACUAGAAACACGGAACAGAGCUUUUAAGAAACCGUGAUCCUGCUUUAAGAGUCAAGUAUAACCCGAAGCUCUGAAAGAUGCUGGCACAAAAUCUCUAAGAAGAAACCCACAGGAGUAAGUAGGCUGCAACUAUUGGAGAAGCGGCAGUGUCAGUGGCACAGGCAUGCUCAGUGAAGACUGCCUGAAGCUGUAAUGAAGGGGACUCAGAAGAAGCACUUUGGAAGGAAUGGGAAGACCACAGACUUCCUUAACACAAAGGGUUUUCUCUGCCCCAACUCUAAAACUCUAAUACUUUUACCUGCUUUAAGACUGUCUCCACUAUGGCCUGGUAAGGCUGCUCCCCCCUCAGGGGGAGGUGACAAAAGAGCAGGCCAAUCAGUUCAUGUCAGAGACAGUCCCUAUCCCCAUUUCUCUCGAACCCACUUGGACACUGAACUGCCAUGGGCUACCUCCAUGAAGGGGUUCCAGGCCAUAUCCAUGAGUGGUCCUUGGCUGGAGUAUCAUUCUCAGAAAAGACCCCUGUGCACAGACUUUUUGGAUCUAUUGCUCUCCUUGUGGAGCUCCUGUCCUCUCCAGGGAAGACAAUGCAGCCACUCCUGAAGAGAUCUGAUAGACUAAGAUCAGAGGGAAGGGGGGACGACCUCCCCUAUCAGUGGACUGGAGGAGGGGCACAGGUGGGAAAGAGGGAAGGUGGGUGGGAUUCGGAGGGGAGGAAGAAGGGAGCUACGGGGGAGGAUACAAAUGAAUAAACUGUAAUUAAUAAAAAAAGAGAAACAAACAAACAAAAAAAAAGACUGUCUCCAAAUAGAUUGCAUUAAAAGGCAUGUGACUGUGUUUUCUUUGAAGAACGACAGUGAUUGUGUUGUCUGGUUGGGUUACUUUAUUACACAGAGAUGAAACGUGAAAUAGGGUUGAGAUGGUAGAAAGGAAAAAAGAAAAGAGCAGGAGUAAGAGAAGCAGGCUCCUUUCUUUUUAUCUAGCCUGCCAUCUUGUUCCGUACAGCAGACAGCCUCUACUCAGGA